GACGGAGGGUGCAAGCGUUGUUCGGAAUUACUGGGCGUAAAGCGCGCGCAGGCGGUCUUCCAAGUCAGUGGUGAAAGCCCGGAGCUCAACUCCGGAACUGCCAUUGAAACUGUGAGACUUGAGGAUGAGAGAGGUGAGUGGAAUUCCCAGUGUAGAGGUGAAAUUCGUAGAUAUUGGGAAGAACACCGGUGGCGAAGGCGGCUCACUGGCUCAUUUCUGACGCUCAGGCGCGACAGCGUGGGGAUCAAACAGG
rnacentral:rRNA from 1 species